AAUAUUGCACAAUGGGGGAAACCCUGAUGCAGCGACGCCGCGUGAGUGAAGAAGUAUUUCGGUAUGUAAAGCUCUAUCAGCAGGGAAGAAAAUGACGGUACCUGACUAAGAAGCACCGGCUAACUACGUGCCUGCACCCGCGGUAAGACGUAGGGGGCAAGCGUUAUCCGGAUUUACUGGGUGUAAAGGGAGCGUAGGUGGGUUGGUAAGUCAGGUGAGAAAGCCCGGGGCUCAACCCCGGGACUGCAUUUGAAACUAUCAAACUAGAGUGCAGGGGAGGUGAGUGGAAUUCCUAGUGUAGCGGUGAAAUGCGUAGAUAUUAGGAGGAACACCAGUGGCGAAGGCGGCCUACUGGACUGUAACUGACACUGAGGCUCGAAAGCGUGGGGAGCAAACAG
rnacentral:rRNA from 1 species